AGGGUUCUGUGAGAUGGGAAACUGAGCCCCAGAAGACCAAGCCCCUAACCUCGAUUUACACAACUGUGAAGUCAGCCCUGGGAUGUUACCCUUCUGACCUGUGCUUGCAGCAGAGA
rnacentral:lncRNA from 1 species